GUCCAACAGUGCACUAAAGUGUUCCAAGAUUAUUUUAAAAAGUCAAAAAAAACUUCUAAAAUGACUCCGCAUUUCCCGAAAUCAUUCAAAAGAUGUUCUAAAGCACCUGAAAUUUUGUCCAAAAUGACUCAAAGAUUCUGGAUUAUCUUCAGACCGCAGCUCCUGAUGGACGUAAAACUGAUCCGGUUGGAUGUAAUCACAUGGAAAUAGAAGAAAAGCUGUUGAUUCCAGUCACUUUGUGUUUGGAUGUUUAUUUAAAUGAUAUUUUCAUCACAGCAUGUCGUUCUGUGCAGCAGAACAUUCAGUGGAUUCAUAAUUUCCACCAAAAAGCAGCAAAUCUUCAACCCGUUGUUGAGACUUUCCACCACUAGAUGGCGUCAUUUCUUUGUUUUUCAUUCAGAUUCUGUGGAAAUUCCAUCAAAAAGCAGAUUUCUGUUCUUAGAAGGUUAACUUUGGGUCUAAAUGUUCUGAAAUAAGAAACAAAUCAGCUUAAAAUGACUCCAGUGGUUUUUCUGCUGCAUCGUUUAAUAAAUCUUGUGUUAUUGGUCCACCGGGUGGCGCUUCAGCUGCUCCGUGCUAAAGUUCAUCUUUAUUUAUCUCCAGCUGACAACCUUCAGCAGAAUUUACUCCCCGAUUAAAGAGCAGCAGAACACACCUUCAUCACCUUCAGCCCACAAGAAUUAAACUGUUUAUCAGCAGCUCAGUAAUGAGUUUUACCUCAGAGACGCUCAGCCAAUCAGAGCCUCCGACCUCCUCAGAACCAUCUGAUCCUUCAUCUACAGAAGCUCCACUUUAUACCAAGUUCUACCUUAAGACUGGGAGAAUUUGUGGACUUACAGGAGCUUAAAGGUCCACAUUUCUCACUUUUUAUGGACUUUUUCCAUUAUUUCUGAGCCUCAUCAGUGCAGCAGGUAGACACGACAUUUAGCAGGAAAACAUUAAAACUAGAAAAGCACUCAGAGAGCACAUACCUCCACCAUGCCGUUUGUCUGUGUGUCCGUCUGUGUGUGUGUGUGUGUGUGUGUGUGUGUGUGUGUGUGUGUGUGUGUGUGUGUGUGUGUGUGUGUGUGUGUGUGUGUGUGUGUGUGUCUGUUUGUCUGUUAACAGCAUAACUCAAAAAGUCAUGGACGGAUUUUCACCAUAUUUUUACAGGAUGUCUGGAAGAGCAAGAGUAAGAAUCGAUUAGAUUUUGGAGGUGAUCCGGAUCACCGUCUGGAUCCAGGAAUUUUUUGAAGGUCGAAGGACAAUUGAGAGAUGGCCGCCACUCUCCGAGUGCUCUCUCAUUGCCAACAAAUACAUGCAAAACCACCAAAAAAGUAAUAAAAUGACCACAAAAAGGACUAAAACUACGACAAAACAGGUGAAAAUGCAACAAAAAUUCAAAUUCAGCACAAAAAAAUCAACCAAAUCGGACAAAAUUUCCUUCCUGACCUCCUCAGAACAUUUUGAGACAUUCUGACAAAUAUUGAAAAAUCUGGGAUGAUUUUUGAAUAAUUUUAAUCAAAUUUCAUGCAAUUGGACCAAUUUUAAAUCAAACCCUAUCUGAGUUCUGGUAAAAAGUGACACCAGAUCAGUUCUACAUCCAUCCAGGUGUCUCAGUCUGAACUAAAUGUAGUUCAUUUUUUUUGUAGAAUCAACUCUGAACAGCAAUAUUAUGGGAUGUGUCAUAGUUUCAUGUCACAAAGAGACAGAAAACAGGUGAAACGUCACAAUAAAUGACAAAAAACGUCUAAAUCUAGACAAAGACAAAUGAUGGAAGAAAAUCCAUUAAAGAGUGAUAAAUCUGGACCCUCCUCUAUGGACUUCAAGGACCAGGAAUGUUCUAAGUGAGACUAAACUUAAAGACUGGAAGCAGGAAAGGAGAACGUCCAGUGGAGGAAGUUCUACAGUAGACCUACCGACAACUGGACAAUUACCGGUAGGUCUACUCUAGAACUUUCUCCAGCUGUCGGUAGGUCUACUCUAGAACUUUCUCCAGCUGUCGGUAGGUCUACUCUAGAACUUUCUCCAGCUGUCGGUAGGUCUACUCUAGAACUUUCUCCAGUUGUCGGUAGGUCUACUCUAGAACUUUCUCCAGCUGUCGGUAGGUCUACUCUAGAACUUUCUCCAGUUGUCGGUAGGUCUACUCUAGAACUUUCUCCAGCUGUCGGUAGGUCUACUCUAGAACUUUCUCCAGCUGUCGGUAGGUCUACUCUAGAACUUUCUCCAGCUGUCGGUAGGUCUACUCUAGAACUUUCUACUGUUGUGGGUAGGUCUACUCUAGAACUUUCUACUGUUGUUGGUAGGUCUACUCUAGAACUUUCUACUGUUGUGGGUAGGUCUACUCUAGAACUUUCUCCAGUUGUCGGUAGGUCUACUCUAGAACUUUCUACUGUUGUGGGUAGGUCUACUCGAGAACUUUCUCCAGUUGUCGGUAGGUCUACUCUAGAAUUUGAUAAAGUUGACGUUAGGUCUACUCUAAAACUUUCUACUGUUGUGGGUAGGUCUACUCUAGACUUUCUCCAGUUGUCGGUAGGUCUACCCUAGACGUUUUGUGUGUUUUUCCUACUGAAUUUGAAUCUUUCAGGGUAGUUUUGUAUCUUUUGUGGUGAUUUUGUGUCUAUUUGUGGUACUUUUGGCCAGUUUUGUGGUUAUUUUUUGUGUUUUUGUGCCAAAUUUGAGCUUUUGUUGCAAUUUCACCUGAUCAGUGGUAGUUCUUGUCCCUUCCAAGACAAAUUUGGACAUUUUUGUGGUGAUCUUCCAUGUUUUUGCUGGCACAUUUAAAUGUUUCAGGGUAACUUUGGCUCUUUUUGGGGUAAUUUUGCAAGUUGUUGGUGCUGAAUGUGAGUUUUUGUUGCAAUGUCACCUGUUUUGUGGAGAUUUGGGGUGUUUUUCCUGGCAUAUUUGAACCUUUCACAGCAGUUUUGUGUCUUUUUGUGGUAAUUUUCUAGCUUUUUUCAGUUUAGUUGCAGUUUUUAGCAGAACUCAGAUAUGUCUGUCCUCCUAAAUGUCAUGUGUCUACCUGCUAUACCGAUGAGGCUCAGAAAUGAUGGAAAAAAUCCAUUAAAACGUGAUAAAUCUGGACA